GCUAGGCCUUUAACAUUGAUAGUAAAAAUACGCUACUAUCCGCCAGAGAACUACAAGUGAAAAACUUUAAACUCAAAGGAUUUGGCGGUGUCCCAUACCUGCCUAGAGGAGCCUGUCCUAUAAUCGAUACCCCCCGUUCCACCCAACCUCAACUAGCACUUCCAGUCUAUAUACCGCCGUCGACAGUCUACCCCAUGAGGGCCCAACAGUAGACACAACAAUUUCCCACUAACACGUCAGGUCAAGGUGUAGCAUACGUUGAGGAAGAGAUUGGCUACAUUUUUUAUGAUAAAAAAUACGAAAUGCAAUAUGAAACCCCGCAUAAAGGUGAAUUUAGUAGUAAGAUAAACAAGAGUGUUUGUCUUAAUUAUGCUCUG
rnacentral:rRNA from 1 species